GCCAGCAUAGCUCAGCUGGUAGAGCAGCUGAUUUGUAAUCAGCUGGUCGGGGGUUCGAGUCCCUCUGCUGGCU
rnacentral:tRNA from 2 species